rnacentral:rRNA from 1 species
UCAUUGCUGGAACGUAGGCCCUACCAAGGGCGCUAUCCCAGAAACCCUUUGUGAACUAUACCUUUUGUUGCCUCGGCACUGGUUGGCUUCUAUGAAGUCCCGUGUUUUUGCACGGAGCAGACCGGCCGGUGGCCCCUAUAAACUCUUGUUUUUGUAUUAUCUUCUGAGUAAACAACUAUAAAUGAAUCAAAACUUUCAACAACGGAUCUCUUGGUUCUGGCAUCGAUGAAGAACGCAGCGAAAUGCGAUAAGUAAUGUGAAUUGCAGAAUUCAGUGAAUCAUCGAAUCUUUGAACGCACAUUGCGCCCAGUGGUAUUCCACUGGGCAUGCCUGUUCGAGCGUCAUUUCAACCCUCAAAAGCCUGGCUUUUGGUGUUGGAGGAAUACCUGUAAAAGGGUACCCUCUGAAAUUUAGUGGCGGGCUCGCUAGAAUUUUGAGCGUAGUAAUUUUACCUCGUUUUUAAAGACUAGUGAGACUUCUUGCCGUAAAACCCCCCAACUUUCUGA